UAGGGAAUCUUCCGCAAUGGGCGAAAGCUUGACGGAGCAACGCCGCGUGAGUGAUGAAGGUCUUCGGAUCGUAAAACUCUGUUAUUAGGGAAGAACAAAUGUGUAAGUAACUAUGCACGUCUUGACGGUACCUAAUCAGAAAGCCACGGCUAACUACGUGCCAGCAGCCGCGGUAAUACGUAGGUGGCAAGCGUUAUCCGGAAUUAUUGGGCGUAAAGCGCGCGUAGGCGGUUUUUUAAGUCUGAUGUGAAAGCCCACGGCUCAACCGUGGAGGGUCAUUGGAAACUGGAAAACUGGAGUGCGGAAGAGGAAAGUGGAAUUCCAUGUGUAGCGGUGAAAUGCGCAGAGAUAUGGAGGAACACCAGAGGCAAAGGCGACUUUGUGGUCUGUAACUGACGCUGAUGUUCGAAAGCGGGGGGAUCAAACAGG
rnacentral:rRNA from 1 species